UGAAACAUAUCCCUAUGGAUAAGAUGAAACUACGAAACAUCUAAGUAUCCUCAGGAAAAGAAAUCAACCGAGAUUCCGGCAGUAGCGGCGAGCGAACCCGGAGGAGCCUAGCUUUUGAUAGUACGAACUUUAGCCGAAAGGUCCUGGAAAGGCCUGCUAUAGUGGGUGAUAGCCCCGUAGGCGAAAGAGUUGGUACGGUACUAAGGAAGCGAGAAGUAGAGCGGGACACGUGGAAUCCUGUUCGAAGACGGGGGGACCAUCCUCCAAGGCUAAAUACUCGUGAUCGACCGAUAGUGAACCAGUACCGUGAGGGAAAGGCGAAAAGAACCCCGGGAGGGGAGUGAAAUAGAACCUGAAACCGCAUGCAUACAAACAGUAGGAGCCUCGUCAGAGGUGACUGCGUACCUUUUGCAUAAUGGGUCAGCGACUUACAUUCUGUGGCGAGCUUAACCGAAUAGGGGAGGCGCAGCGAAAGCGAGUUCGAAAUGAGCGUUCAGUCGCAGGGUGUAGACCCGAAACCAGAUGAGCUAUCCAUGGCCAGGUUGAAGGUGUGGUAACACACACUGGAGGACCGAACCGACUAGUGUUGCAAAAUUAGCGGAUGAGCUGUGGAUAGGGGUGAAAGGCCAAACAAAUCUGGAGAUAGCUGGUUCUCCCCGAAAACUAUUGAGGUAGUGCCUCGUGUGUCGCUCCAGGGGGUAGAGCACUGUUUUGGCUAGGGGGACAUGGAGUCUUACCAAACCAAGGCAAACUCCGAAUACCUGGAAGCGUAAGCACGGGAGACAGAGCACCGGGUGCUAACGUCCGGACUCAAAAGGGAAACAACCCAGACCGCCGGCUAAGGUCCCAAAUAACAGCUAAGUGGAAAACGAAGUGGAAAGGCCGUGACAACCAGGAAGUUGGCUUAGAAGCAGCCAUCCUUCAAAGAAAGCGUAAUAGCUCACUGGUCGAGUCCUUCUGCGCGGAAGAUGUAACGGGGCUAAGCUGUUAACCGAAGCCGCGGAUGCACUGGUUAUCCAGUGCGUGGUAGGGGAGCGUUCUGUAAGUCUGCGAAGGCGGUUCGAGAGGACUGCUGGAGAUAUCAGAAGUGCGAAUGCUGACAUGAGUAACGUUAAAGCAGGUGAAAAGCCUGCUCGCCGUAAGCCCAAGGAUUCCUGCUCUACGUUCAUCGGAGCAGGGUGAGUCGGCUCCUAAGGUCAGGCCGAAAGGCGUAGCCGAUGGGAAUCAGGUUAAUAUUCCUGAACCUGCGUCAGAUGCGAUGGGGGGACGGAGCAUGGAAGAUCAUCCGGGUGUUGGAAGUCCCGGUUGUUGAGCGUAGGGGGUCUGCAGGCAAAUCCGCAGACGCAUCUCCAAGGCAAAGACACGUGCCGCCACGGCGGCGAAGUGAUCGGAAGUGCUUCCAAGAAAAGCCUCUAAGCCCCAGUCUGACGCGGACCGUACCGCAAACCGACACUGGUGGGCGAGCUGAAUAUGCUCAGGCGCUUGAGAGAACUCGGGAGAAGGAACUCGGCAAAUUGACACCGUAACUUCGGAAGAAGGUGUGCCGUAGUACCGUGAGAGGAGAGACACCUUGAGCGGGAAACGGUCUCAGAGAAUAGGUGGCUGCGACUGUUUAUUAAAAACACAGCACUCUGCAAAGUCGAAAGACGACGUAUAGGGUGUGAUGCCUGCCCGGUGCUGGAAGAUUAAUUGAUGGGGUGCAAGCUCCUGAUCGAAGUCCCAGUAAACGGCGGCCGUAACUAUAACGGUCCUAAGGUAGCGAAAUUCCUUGUCGGGUAAGUUCCGACCUGCACGAAUGGCAUAACGAUGGCCACACUGUCUCCUCCCGAGACUCAGUGAAAUUGAAAUGUUUGUGAUGAUGCAAUCUACCCGCGGCUAGACGGGAAGACCCCAUGAACCUUUACUGCAGCUUUGCAUUGAACUGUGAACCGAUUUGUGUAGGAUAGGUGGGAGGCAGAGAAGAGGCCACGCCAGUGGUCUUGGAGCCGACCUUGAAAUACCACCCUGAUUUGUUUGCGGUUCUAACCACGGACAGUGAUCCUGUCUUGGGACCGUGCAUGGUAGGCAGUUUGACUGGGGCGGUCUCCUCCUAAAGGGUAACGGAGGAGUACGAAGGUACGCUAGGUACGGUCGGAAAUCGUGCUGAUAGUGCAAUGGCAAAAGCGUGCUUGACUGCGAGAGCAACAACUCGAGCAGAUGCGAAAGCAGGUCAUAGUGAUCCGGUGGCUCUGAAUGGAAGGGCCAUCGCUCAACGGAUAAAAGGUACUCUGGGGAUAACAGGCUGAUA
rnacentral:rRNA from 1 species